rnacentral:lncRNA from 10 species
AUGUUUAGGUACGCCACAGAUUGUUUAUCCACUCACCGAUUGAAGGACAUCUUGGAUGCUUUCAAGUUUAGCAAUUAUGAACAAAGUUGCUAUAAACAUUUGUGUGCGGGCUUUUGUACAGACGCAAGUUUUCAACUUAUUUGGAUAAAUACUGAUGAGUGCACUUCUGGAUCAUAUGGUAAAAAAGUGCCUUUCACCUCCCACCAUGCUUCUAAGGCCUCCCCAGCCAUGUGGAAGUAUGCUGUUACCCUUUGCUGUGGUGGGGAGUAUGGAUGA